AGUAUUAAGCUGAGGAAUGCAUUAUCCUGCGUGGAAGCCUACAAAGAUGUUUGUUCUUCCGGUUCACAUGUCAGAUUAUUCAAUGCUAUUGUAUCAACACUCCAGCCAGAGCUGUAUGGAUGUUCUGGUUCUGUUAGGGAACAGUGCGAAUUGUUUUCAGUUGCGGGAUGCAUUAAAAGAUUUAACAUUCACCGCAUGUACCAUCUCGAAGCAACAGGGUCAUCAAUGUACGAAGAAAGCCUUUGUCAGCACCUCAGAACAGCCAAGGGUUGCAUUGCUCCGUUUGAACUACCUUGUAAAAAUAAUCCUUCAUUUGCAACUAUAAACUUUAAGACAUAUCUAG